UACGAAGGGGGCUAGCGUUGUUCGGAUUUACUGGGCGUAAAGCGCACGUAGGCGGAUCGUUAAGUCGGGGGUGAAAUCCUGGAGCUCAACUCCAGAACUGCCUUCGAUACUGGCGAUCUUGAGUCCGGAAGAGGUGAGUGGAACUCCUAGUGUAGAGGUGGAAUUCGUAGAUAUUAGGAAGAACACCAGUGGCGAAGGCGGCUCACUGGUCCGGAACUGACGCUGAGGCACGAAAGCGUGGGGAGCAAACAGG
rnacentral:rRNA from 1 species